GCGCAACCCUUGUCCUUAGUUACCAGCACGUUAUGGUGGGCGACUCUAAGGAGGACUGCCGGUGGACAAACCGGAGGAAGGUGGGGAGUGACGUCAAGUCAUCAUGGCCCUUACGGCCUGGGCUACACACGUGCUACAAUGGUCGGUACAAAGGGUUGCCAAGCCGCGAGGUGGAGCUAAUCCCAUAAAACCGAUCGUAGUCCGGAUCGCAGUCUGCAACUCGACUGCGUGAAGUCGGAAUCGCUAGUAAUCGUGAAUCAGAAUGUCACGGUGAAUACGUUCCCGGGCCUU
rnacentral:rRNA from 1 species